rnacentral:sRNA from 1 species
ACAAAAUUGCCAUUGAAGAACAGAAGUUUAAGCAUAUUUAUCGAAGAAGAAAAAGACGAUGACAAUUUCCCAAAGUUUCAAUUGUCUUCUGUGAAUUUGGCUUUGGGUCACUGUUAUGACACUAAAGGGCACCUGGAAACACGGUUGAA